UUAUGCUGGAUCAGGCAUAAUUUAUACUCUUCAACUGACAGAAAGCCAGCAUAACGUCUGAAUGAACACUGUAACAUAUGCUCUGGCUGAUUUGAUAAAAAUGCAGUCAUGUGCUCAUGCCAAUACAGAGCAAAUUUUUCCUGCCAGGAAAUCCGGCAUGCACAGAUUUUAUACCAGUUAAUGCAGGAUCACAGCCUUAUAUUGCUUCAUUUUUUUUCUGCAUAUUAAUUGAUUUUUACUACUUUAUUAUAGGCACAAAUAAAGAGUACAGGUUUGUUGAAAUCUCUCUGACCAGUACUUGCGUGGAGUGAGUCUACAGCAAUACAGCAGUUCUCCAAACAGGGACAAACAUGAUCCCCAGACAAUAUGUCUCUUUCGUAACACUGGCAUGCAUGAUUUUGUACCUUCAUGGUCGAAGCAGAAAUUACCUUACUGCAAAAGAGUCUGCAAUACCCCUCCAUAAAAAUGAUGUUGGACUGGCAGUAUGUCUGCACCACUGGAAAUCCACUCAUGUGCACUAUUGGUAUUUUUGCGUUAUUUUGCACCUCUUUGCAGCCACUGACAGCACUGGAAUAGAGAAAAUGGGCUACUCUGAUUUUCAAGAGGUGAUAGCCCUGCCGAAGCUUUCUGUUGUGUCAGAACUCUUACCUUGCUUGCCUGCACAGUUGAAACCCUAUUCAGCGCAAAUUACUGGAAGUAUAUGGUUGCUGUCACCACUGAAGGAAAAGUUUCAUUUCCAAGUCUACUUCUGCAAGACUGAGUUGAACUUAGAUUUUAACAGGAAAGUUCCCAAAUCCUUACCUGGGUUAAAGACAGCCUUCCUCUCUUUCUGACUUUCUCCAGGCUGUUUCUGUCUAAAGCCCCUCCAGCUUCCAACUCCAACAACUUGAUUUUUAAAUUGUAAUAUUGUACUGCUUCUUUGGAACAUGAAUUUCUUAUUCAAUGUUCACCUAGUUCUCAUCAUUAUUCAAAAUGAAAAGGAGAAGAUGGGGUGGAAAGAGAUAAAAUAUGGAUACUUACACACUAAGCCUGCUUUUCCAGUGUCUUCUUUCAUUUGAUCAUACACUGGCUAGCUGAGUGCAAAAUACAUGUCAAGAGCUCCUACUUUGUUUUGUUAGCAUUACACACUUACUUUUGAAAGGGUUUAAAUAUGAAGGAUUUGCAAGGUGGUCUAGUCUAUCCCAUCUGUUGCUAAGGUUGUUGGCAAAACAAUCGCCAGGAAUGUAUUAUGGAAAGUGUGUAUUUAACAGGAUGGCAAGCUUGAAAAGACUUCAGUCCCUUCCCACUCAACCUCCCUCUCUUUGGUGGUACAGGCAGACUUGGCCAGCAUGAUCCUGUCUGUAUGAUACAAUAGCAGAUAUGUGAGUGAGCAGCUCUGUCAUCCCAGUGUAGCUGCACCUGGUUUGACUGAUGUACUGAUGGCUGUAGCUGCACCUGUGAUGAUCCUGAUUGCUCCCAAAAGGAUAUGACUGUCUCUUCAUAUCAAUUCGUAGAAUUUGGUGUUUCUCCAAAGCAAUGUCACUAGGAAUGAGACACACUGCUUUGCUAUCUGUAGCAAUGGCUUUGCUCAGUCUCCUCAUCUGGCCCCUCCAUACUCAGAGUACCUGCAGAAUUAGAGAAAGAGAAUUCAUUAAUCAAAGUCAAAAGAAAAAUGUUGCCCAGUUGCUUUGUGAUAAAGGCCCUAGUUUACAAAUUUUAACAAAUGGCUCUGCUGUCUUUCUGUGGCUAAGCAGUGAGAAGGGUUUGUGUUCCGUAGUGGAAUUUCUUCAGCCAAUGAAAAGAAGAUUUUGUAGACUCUGACAACAAUACCACACAUCAGUGAAUGUGAGCGUUAACAACAUAAGUGGCCCAACAAAAUUCACCCCAUUAACUAAACAAAUUGACCAAAAUUCUGGCUGCGUAAGUCUGUAAGUAUUUAUUCAAAAGUGGCAAGGGCUACUGAUGAGUUGCUGACAGAAUUGCUGCUACCUGGUAAGUAUAAUCUGACUAUUCUUCAGCUUUCUCAAAAAUACAGAAAGGGCAAAACCUGAAAAACAUGGACUUUGCCACAGAGGACUUCAGCAAUUUGCUCCUCAUUGUGAAUGUUUGCCAAAGAACAGGAGCUGCGUGUGUGCAUGAUUUUCACACAACCCCAUCCAAACAACGGAAAAAAUAAGGGUUACAAGGACAGACUGAUUUUUGGUAGCUUUGAACCCUGACACAUUUUGCCCAACGAAGAGGCCUAUUAUCAGUAUCCUAAGUUAUGACUUAACUCUAUCUUGGUUUCCUACUAUCUAUGAAUGAUGUAAUUCUACAGAUUCUGACCACACACUAAAGAAAAGGCAUCUAUUUGUAUGAAUGGUCAUCUAUGCCUAUUGAAAAUCAUUAGGUCACUACUAUUACAUAUUUACAUUUGGUUAUGUAUUUACCGUUUCACCCCCUCAAUAAUGAUGUGGACUUUGGGAUGGAAGACAGGCAAUAAACUUCCGCAUAACUGCUGAAAUGGCUUUUGCCCUUAACAGAAGCUAAUCUUUCUAGGAAAACCAACACUGUAACAGAUAUGGCUAAAGAAAAGUGUGUAUUAGCGUGAAAUACUUGUUCCUACACUUUGAUCCCGCAGGGGCACCUGUGAAUUCACUGCUGAAAUCUCCUAGGAUAGCCUAGUGACCAUUUCUGAAAUGAAGCCCAAACUGGGGUGUGUAGUCUAUUUCCCACCACUACUUAUCAAACACAGGUCUGCUGCUAUAGUCACCUACUACAAAUCACUGGCUUGUCAAAACAGGGGUUCAUUAGCUGUCUCUCUGAACAACAGCCUAGAAUAGUCCAUUAAAAGAAAUUGUGAUGCAACACUGAGCAGAAUAUAAAAUGACUUACUGGAACUGAGGUGGAAAGGCAGGUAAGCAGGUCAAAGAGAUACAAGAACGUGGAACAAGAGGAAUGCCAGUAGUGGCCUACGUCUGUUGUGAUCCUUAACUCAAAGCUAUCAGUGUUGUGUAUCAACACUAACACCUACAGCAAGAACAGCAGCUGAAGACAACCUGUGGACAACUUAGCAGAUGAUGAUUGUGGUGAACACGAAGGAAAAUUACCAUAGGAAUUUUUAACACAAGGGAUAUAAAACUUCAGGACAAAAUAUACAUGUAAAUGCAGCGGGAUCUUAUAAAGAUAAUCCUAAAACAGAGUUAGAAAGCAAAAAAAGAAAGAAAGAA